GAGCACUAUAGUGCCAGGAAAACAUACUCGUUUUCCUGGCUCUAUAGCAGGGGUAAGCAACCUUUUAAUACCUACCGCCCACUUUUGUAUCUUUGUUGAUGGUAACAUUUCCUUACCGCCCACCAGUGCAGCAGUAACUAAUUUUAUAGCGCAAGUAUGAUUUUUUUUUCUUUCCAUUUUUAGAAAGGAGAAAUAUGUACUUAAAUUUAUCUAUUUUUUUCUAUUUUCAAGUCUACUUUUUUUUCUGUGUGUGUGUG